rnacentral:lncRNA from 1 species
GCUGAAGGAUAUCAGUAUAUCAUCAGUACAUCAUAAAGAGAUAAAGAAAGAUACUACUACUAUCAAACUGAAGAUGACUUCAUUCCAGCGUAUGGUCCUUGUUGCAGCUGUACUCUUUAUGAUUACUGCUCAUGUCACUGAUGCUGCAAAAAAAGAGGGAACCUGUUACCUUAGAAAAGGAUGUGUCGGUACUCCUUACUACAUGGCAGAGAAUGAUGGAGAAAAAUGCUGUCAAUUUAAAUUUGCUUCUUACGAAUAUGAACAUGACGGUAGGCCAGUUUGCCGUAACUGCUAAAGCAACUGAAGAAGCAAGAAAAUAAUAAGAACAAUACUACUAUUAACAGUUGAAUACUAUUAAUACUUUAAUUAUUAUUAUUACUUUAAUUAUCAUUGCUAAACAAAUUUAUCUAACAAAUUAAUUCAGACUGAUUAAGAACAAAA